GCUGACGAGUGGCGGACGGGUGAGUAAUGUCUGGGAAACUGCCUGAUGGAGGGGGAUAACUACUGGAAACGGUGGCUAAUACCGCAUAACGUCGCAAGACCAAAGAGGGGGACCUUCGGGCCUCUUGCCAUCAGAUGUGCCCAGAUGGGAUUAGCUUGUUGGUGAGGUAACGGCUCACCAAGGCGACGAUCCCUAGCUGGUCUGAGAGGAUGACCAGCCACACUGGAACUGAGACACGGUCCAGACUCCUACGGGAGGCAGCAGUGGGGAAUAUUGCACAAUGGGCGCAAGCCUGAUGCAGCCAUGCCGCGUGUAUGAAGAAGGCCUU
rnacentral:rRNA from 1 species